rnacentral:lncRNA from 1 species
UCCCGUGACCCACCCCCCGUUCAUCCCGUGACCCAGCCCCCAACCCCGUUCAUCCCGUGACCCACCCCCAACCCCGGUUUAGCCCGUGACCCACCCCCCCCCCGUUCAUCCCGUGACCCACCCCCCGGUUCAUCCCGUGACCCAGCCCCCAACCCCGUUCAUCCCGUGACCCAGACCCCACCCUGGUUUAUCCCAUGACCCACCCACGGUUCAUCCUGUGACCCGCCCCCCGUUCAUCCCGUGACCCACCCCCCACCCCUGGUUUAUCCCGUGACCCACCCCCGGGUCAUCCUGUGACCCAGACCCCACCCUGGUUUAUCCCAUGACCCGCCCACGGUUCAUCCUGUGACCCGCCCCCCGUUCAUCCCGUGACCCAGCCCCCCACCCCUGGUUUAUCCCGUGACCCACCCCCGGGUCAUCCUGUGACCCAGACCCCACCCCUGGUUUAUCCCGUGACCCACCCUCGGGUCAUCCCGUGACCCAGACCCCACGCCUGGUUUAUCCCGUGACCCACCCGCAGCACCAGCACCUCAGUGCUGCUUUUGUAUUUAUAGUCGCCUUGCUGUAUGUUGAGCGUAAUUUUACAAUCUGCCCAAAAUUCCUUUGAAGAGCAGAUAGGUGUGUACACCCUAAAUGAAUAAAAUACAGUGCGAUUUGGUGAAAGGUAACGGCUCGUUUAUUUUCCUUGCCAUAAAAAUGCUACAAUCACCCUGAAGGUGAACCUGGCAAGCGGCAUAGGGGCCAGGGCCUCACUCGGCUCUCCUGUGCACCCCGCCCCGGUGUGAUGUUUGGAGAUUUG